rnacentral:rRNA from 1 species
UACGGGGGGAGCAAGCGUUGUUCGGAUUUACUGGGCGUAAAGGGCGCGUAGGCGGCCACCGCAAGUCGGUUGUGAAAUCUCCGGGCUUAACCCGGAAAGGUCAAUCGAUACUGCGGGGCUAGAGUGCAGAAGGGGCAACUGGAAUUCUCGGUGUAGCGGUGAAAUGCGUAGAUAUCGAGAGGAACACCUGCGGCGAAGACGGGUUGCUGGGCUGACACUGACGCUGAGGCGCGAAAGCUAGGGGAGCGAACGGG